rnacentral:rRNA from 1 species
CCUACGGGGGGCAGCAGUGGGGAAUAUUGGACAAUGGGGGAAACCCUGAUCCAGCGACGCCGCGUGAGUGAAGAAGUAUUUCGGUAUGUAAAGCUCUAUCAGCAGGGAAGAAAAUGACGGUACCUGACUAAGAAGCCCCGGCUAACUACGUGCCAGCAGCCGCGGUAAUACGUAGGGGGCAAGCGUUAUCCGGAUUUACUGGGUGUAAAGGGAGCGUAGACGGCAUUGCAAGUCUGAUGUGAAAGAUUGGGGCUCAACCCCAGGCCUGCAUUGGAAACUGUAAAGCUGGAGUACAGGAGAGGUAA